GAUGAACGCUGGCGGCGUGCCUAAUACAUGCAAGUCGAGCGAACAGACGAGGAGCUUGCUCCUCUGACGUUAGCGGCGGACGGGUGAGUAACACGUGGAUAACCUACCUAUAAGACUGGGAUAACUUCGGGAAACCGGAGCUAAUACCGGAUAAUAUAUUGAACCGCAUGGUUCAAUAGUGAAAGACGGUUUUGCUGUCACUUAUAGAUGGAUCCGCGCCGCAUUAGCUAGUUGGUAAGGUAACGGCUUACCAAGGCAACGAUGCGUAGCCGACCUGAGAGGGUGAUCGGCCACACUGGAACUGAGACACGGUCCAGACUCCUACGGGAGGCAGCAGUAGGGAAUCUUCCGCAAUGGGCGCAAGCCUGACGGAGCAACGCCGCGUGAGUGAUGAAGGUCUUCGGAUCGUAAAACUCUGUUAUUAGGGAAGAAAAAAUGUGUAAGUAACUAUGCACGUCUUGACGGUACCUAAUCAGAAAGCCACGGCUAACUACGUG
rnacentral:rRNA from 1 species